GAUGAACGCUAGCUACAGGCUUAACCCAUUCAAUUCGAGGGACCGGCGCACGAGUGGGUAACACGUAUCCAACCUGCCCUUUACUCGGGGAUAGCCUUUCGAAAGAAAGAUCAAUACCCUAUAUAAAGGAUGGUGAUGCGUUCCAUUAGGUUGUUUGUGAGGUAACGGCUCACCAAGCCUUCGAUGGAUAGGGGUUCUGAGAGGAAGGUCCACCACAUGGGAACUGAUACACGGUCCAUACGCCUCCGGGAGGCAGCAGUGAGGAAUAUAGGUCAAUGGGCGCGAGCCUGAACCAGCCAAGUAGCUUGAAGGAUGAAGGCUUUUGGGUCGUAAACUUCUUUUAUAUAAGAAUAUGUAUUAUAUGAAUAAGGAUCGGCUAACUACGUGCCAGCAGCCGCGGUAAUUC
rnacentral:rRNA from 1 species